GGAGGGUGCUGGAGAAGAAGAAGAUGGAGCUGUUGAAUAAGUAUGUGAGUGAGGGGCUUAUGGAGGAGCAGACCGAGGCCAAGGACAUGCUCAAUAUUCAGCGUUAGCGGGGACUGUGCCAAUAUUUUAAAAUGUUGUUGUAGUUGUAGCUCUGGAGCGGGAAAUUGCAGAUAGAUUUGAUUGUGGACAAAUGCGCAAUGGUGGUGAUGACUUCAAAAAUCUUGCCCAAAAUUGUGAUUCUGCACUUGGGACAAUUUGUAUCUGGCUAAAGUCCGAACUUAUUGACAUCAUUAGAACAUCAUUAGAAGGCACGCAGCUGCCGAAGAUGUUAGUGUGAGAUUCGGUAAUCUGGCUAUAGCUUUUCUGAAUAAACAUCUAUCAAGGAACGAGUGAGAGAUAGAAUUUAAACUUUUUUGCUCACAAUUUACACUGCCUUCUACAAUUAAGUAUGUACUAUCAUUCAAACUGAGUCUUGUAUUUGGGGCGUCCUCUUAGUAU
rnacentral:sRNA from 1 species